UACGAGUGCUCCAAGCGUUAUCCGGAAUUACUGGGCGUAAAGGGUGUGUAGGCGGUUUGAUUAGUCUUCUGUUAAAUUCUUCGGCUUAACCGGGGGCAUGCAGAGGAAACGGUCAAACUAGAGGAUGCGAGAGGUAUAUGGAACUCAUGGAGUAGGGGUGAAAUCCGUUGAUAUCAUGGGGAACACCAAAUGCGAAGGCAGUAUACUGGCGCACUCCUGACACUGAGACACGAAAGCGUGGGUAGCGAAUGGG
rnacentral:rRNA from 1 species